rnacentral:rRNA from 1 species
AACGAACGCUGGCGGCGUGGAUAAGACAUGCAAGUCGAACGGGGAAUAUGAUUAGCUUGCUAAAUGUAUUCCUAGUGGCGAACGGGUGCGUAACACGUGAGUAAUAUGCCUCGAAGAGCGGGAUAGCCCAGCGAAAGUUGGAUUAAUACCGCAUGUGGCGGGGAUGGGAUUCCAUUCUUUGCUAAAGGUAGGGACCUUCGGGCCUGCCGCUUCGAGAUUGGCUCGCGGCCUAUCAGUUUGUUGGUGGGGUAAUGGCCUACCAAGACGACGACGGGUAGCCGGUCUGAGAGGAUGUCCGGCCACACUGGAACUGAGACACGGUCCAGACACCUACGGGUGGCAGCAGUCGAGAAUCAUGCACAAUGGGCGAAAGCCUGAUGCUGCAACGCCGCGUGGAGGAUGAAGGCCCUAGGGUCGUAAACUCCUGUCACCAAUGAGUAUGGGUAUUAUGUUUAAUAGAUGUAGUAUUUGAUAGUAAUUGGAGAGGAA